GUCGACAGUCAUACCAUCCUGAACGUGCCCAAUCUUGUCUGAUCUCAGAAGCUAAACAGGGUUGGGUCUGGUUAGUACUUGGAUGGGAGAAACGAAGACUUUAAACA
rnacentral:rRNA from 1 species